AACGAACGCUGGCGGCAUGCCUAACACAUGCAAGUCGAACGAGAUCCUUCGGGGUCUAGUGGCGCACGGGUGCGUAACGCGUGGGAAUCUGCCCUUAGGUUCGGAAUAACAGUUAGAAAUGACUGCUAAUACCGGAUGAUGACGUUAAGUCCAAAGAUUUAUCGCCUGAGGAUGAGCCCGCGUAGGAUUAGCUAGUUGGUGUGGUAAAGGCGCACCAAGGCGACGAUCCUUAGCUGGUCUGAGAGGAUGAUCAGCCACACUGGGACUGAGACACGGCCCAGACUCCUUCGGGAGGCAGCAGUGGGGAAUAUUGGACAAUGGGCGCAAGCCUGAUCCAGCAAUGCCGCGUGAGUGAUGAAGGCCUUAGGGUUGUAAAGCUCUUUUACCCGGGAUGAUAAUGACAGUACCGGGAGAAUAAGCCCCGGCUAACUCCGUG
rnacentral:rRNA from 1 species